UACGUAGGGUGCAAGCGUUGUCCGGAUUUAUUGGGCGUAAAGAGCUCGUAGGCGGUUUGUCGCGUCGGAUGUGAAAACCCAGGGCUCAAUCCCUGGGCCUGCAUUCGAUACGGGCAGACUAGAGUAUGGCAGGGGAGACUGGAAUUCCUGGUGUAGCCGGUGAAAUGCGCAGAUAUCAGGAGGAACACCGGUGGCGAAGGCGGGUCUCUGGGCCAAAACUGACGCUGAGGAGCGAAAGCGUGGGGAGCGAACAGG
rnacentral:rRNA from 1 species